GUGGGUAUAGCGUAGCUGGUUAACGCGUCAGUUUGUGGCACUGAAGACCGAGAGUUCGAAUCUCUCUAUCCACCCUA
rnacentral:tRNA from 1 species